rnacentral:rRNA from 1 species
GUGGGUAAUCUGUCUUCAAAUUCGGGAUAAGCCGGCGAAAGGCGUGCUAAUACCGGAUAACAUCAUGUACGCUGAGGUGUAUGUGAUCAAAGGUAGCCUCUACAAGUAAGCGACUGUUUGGAGAUGAGCCUGCGUACCAUUAGUUAGUUGGCGGGGUAACGGCCCACCAAGGCGACGAUGGUUAGCUGGUCUGAGAGGAUGAUCAGCCACACUGGAACUGACACACGGUCCAGACUCCUACGGGAGGCAGCAGUGAGGAAUUUUGCGCAAUGGGCGGAAGCCUGACGCAGCAACGCCGCGUGAGUGAAGAAGGCCUUCGGGUCGUAAAGCUCUGUCAAAUGGGAAGAACCUGUGCAUGGUAAACAAGUGUGCACACUGACGGUACCAUUGAAGGAAGCACCGGCUAACUCCGUGCCAGCAGCCGAGGUAAUACGGAGGGUGCGAGCGUUAUUCGGAGUUAUUGGGCGUAAAGAGCACGUAGGCGGCAGUGCAAGUCAGGUGUGAAACCCCGGGGCUUAACCUCGGAAGCGCAUUUGAAACUGUGCUGCUUUGAGUAUGGGAGAGGGAAGUGGAAUUCCUGGUGUACCGGUGAAAUGCGUAGAUAUCAGGAGGGACACCGGUGGCGAAGGCGACUUCCUGGACCAAUACUGACGCUGAGAUGCGAAGGCGUGGGUAGCAAACAGGAUUAGAUACCCUGGUAGUCCACGCAGUAAACGGUGAUCACUAGGUGUAGCGGGUAUUGACCCCUGCUGUGCCGCAGUUAACGCAUUAAGUGAUCCGCCUGGGGAGUACGGCCGCAAGGUUAAAACUCAAAGGAAUUGACGGGGGCCCGCACAAGCGGUGGAGCAUGUGGUUUAAUUCGACGCAACGCGAAGAACCUUACCUGGAUUUGACAUCUGCGGGAGUGCUAUGAAAGUAGGAUGUGCCCUUCGGGGAGCCGCAAGACAGGUGCUGCAUGGCUGUCGUCAGCUCGUGUCGUGAGAUGUUGGGUUAAGUCCCGCAACGAGCGCAACCCUUGUCUUUAGUUACCAGCAUUUCGGAUGGGGACUCUAAAGAAACUGCCCCGGUUAACGGGGAGGAAGGUGGGGAUGACGUCAAGUCCUCAUGGCCUUUAUGUCCAGGGCUACACACGUGCUACAAUGGGUUGUACAAAGGGUAGCGAGCCUGUGAAGGAGAGCCAAUCCCAUAAAGCAGCCCCAAGUUCGGAUUGGAGUCUGCAACUCGACUCCAUGAAGCUGGAAUCGCUAGUAAUCGCGGAUCAGCAUGCCGCGGUGAUACGUUCCCGGGCCUUGUACACACCGCCCGUCACACCAUGAGAGUUGGUUGUACCCGACGUCACCGGGCUAACCUUUUU